CACUCUACCUUUCAAGAUGGCCACCAGCAGGAAGUGACAUAAGAGAAACAAGAUGGCUGCCUAAAGAGGUGCUCUGAAAUGGUGGAGCGCUGAAUGGCUGUGUUAAAUCUGUAGAAAACAGAAUCAAUCCUAGAGAGAAGACCCGUUUGGGAAAACAGAAUCAAUCUUCGAGAGAAGACCCGUUUGGGAAAACAGAAUCAAUCUUCGAGAGAAGACCCGUUUGGGAAAACUGAAUCAAUCCUGGGGAGAAGACCCGUUUGGGAAAACAGAACAGCCUAGCCAGAGUCUCGGCAAAACUGUACCCUGGUUCUACACUGCUUCUGACCUGGUUCUGAGGCUGUCGGAGGCUGAGCUGGUCCAGUGCUUCAGGAGUCCGAAAACGGCACUGGACUCAAACUGCCUGGUGUACUGAGUCAGCAGCUCCCUCACCACCACCUGAAGACACAGACCACCCGUUUCACACCCCAAACUGGACCAGGAGACACAGAACCCCCGUUUCACACCCCAAACUGGACCAGGAGACACAGAACCCCCGUUUCACACCCCAACCUCUGCAGAACCUAAUCCCCCAAGAAGCACCUGUGAGCCGGCGCUGCAUCACCAGGCCUGAUGUCAGCAGGGCCCUCGGCUCUCAGAGUGGGACUGGGGCGGAUUUGGGUGCUUCACCGUGGGCUUUCGGGAUCAUAAUGCAUCAUAAUGCGUAAAACCACUUAAAUAUUUAAAUAUUUUUGCCUCCAGUGGCAAGGUCAUGAAAAGCCAGACUGUUUACAUGUCCAAUGAAGGAUUAUCACUCAUCUAAUUACAACCAGCAGGCCGAUGAUUCUGCACGUUACUGCAAACACAGUGGGUCUGCAGGAGACGCCGAGGAGACUGAGCUCUGCUCUGAUCCGCAGCGUGUGAAGAACACUGGCUCCUCAGUUCAUGGGAAAUAUCCACACGGGGCGUUCAGUUGGGUGGAGCAGCGUGAAGAUUCCUCUCAGACCAAAACACCUGUUCAUGCCAUCUCUGAAGAAAACAAACUAACUUAAGCACCAAAGCAUCCCUUUCUUCGAAAAGAAUGAGAAACUAACAUCAUCGCCAUCUAGUGGUGAGAAAGCUGCCCACCCCUGCGACGGAGGCCCGGUGGGCGCUCGUGUGCAGACUGUCAGGCUCAGGUGAGGCGCCGGUACCUGGUGGUGAAGGUGAGAGCCAGGGCGGCGGCCAGGUGAGGCAUUAGCCGCAGGUACUGGGUCUGGUGCUCGAUGAUCUUCACCUCCUCCUGGUCCGUUGGCCCAAACUGCCUGCGACUGAGAGGAGACACGAGCGUUACCCUCCUGCCCUGGAGACACUGCCAGUCAGAUGAACAGCCAUAUGGAAGGAGAAUACCGCUGUUGUAAAUAGUGGCAAACAUGGAGGACUGAGGCAGUGAUCUGUAGGACUGCACAUAAGCGCCCCCUGCUGGUCUCUGAUGGGCACAAUGAAGCAGUGGGGACCUGGAGGAGAGAGCGGGACCGCAGAGAGAAGAAGGUGUGCAGUGUGGCAGCUCGGAAAGACUCCUCGCUGGUUCAGCUCAACUUCCGCGUGAUGAUGAUGUCACUCAGUUUAUGAAAAGACACGGCCGCGGUUUCGCACGGAAUGCGAGAGCCAAAGGGGAAGUGCGCGUGCGGCCGGACUUUUGAGCAUGCUGUUCGCCUCCUGAUUGGAUCACGUAAAUUCUGCCGGCCUGACCGCGGUCCCGUCAAAAACCCUUGUCAGGCGUAACUGUUGUUAACGAUUCGCGUUUCCACUUCGCUGCGGUUUGUCCCUUUCCAGUCGCCGUUGCCGGAAAACCUGGCACCAAGCCCACCGUCGUUCUGUGUGAAGUGACCGAGUAGACGUGAGUCCACUGGGCAAAGCUGACAUGAUAUUCCAGUUCACCGGAAAAAGCACGAAACCGGCGUUUCGGUUGCCGUUCUGGAGUUCAGGGAGCUCCAGAUUUUACCCAGACCUACAGUAGUCAAAAACAGGUGGAACUGAUGGUGUUGCAGUUUUCAAAGGAGAAAGAACCGGGGCAAGAACUGAGGGAGAGGAAGGAGGAAGAAGAUGCAUUGCACAAGUCUGAGGACUCAAAGGGAAGAUAAACUCCAGAAAGACAGGCUGUUUCCGUGCGCCCUACAGCACAUAGACUGGCUGUCUGCAUGCCGAACCUUGCAUUAUUCAUUCUCUAAUUCAUAAUUCAAUGCUUUUGUGAGCUAGCUUGAAAGCUGGCUAGGUAGCUAACCAAUCUGUUUGUCAGUUUUUAAAACAUGUCACAGCAUGGACAAGGUAUUCCAGUCAGUGAGAAAUAUUUCACUUGUUACAAGAAAUUGAGAGAUAAAAUGAUCAUUAAUCCCAUUCGUAACAAUUGAAGGACGGGAUGCAGGACAGACUGACUUUCCAGAUACAUUAAAAAGACAGGAUCGUUGUAUUGACAUGCUGACAUGCCAUACUGCUGCAUAUAAGUACUCACACACUUGUAUAUAUAGUUAUUCAUGUUUAUGAUGAUUGAAGUUGAUUGAAAGACAAUGACGUUUCAUACCAAGCAUGAACAGCAAUUCCAGCAUUCCCUAUUAAACCAGCGUAGAGUUCUUCUCUGCAACAUCACUGAGUAAUUGGUUGAACUUGUGAAGUGAAUCAGGGCAGUACAUGCAUCUACUCUGGGUGUUAUGAUCUGCAGAUACACUUAUGGAUGAAUUUUCCCUUAAAGGGGUGGCUCACUUUCUGGGUUUUUUGAUAUUUUUCAGUGCAUGGAUUUGUAUAUGAUGAAGAAUAUUUUUGAUAUUUACAGUAAUAAUAUUUGCGAGAUUCAAAGAGAAAGCACCCAAAAAGUUGAAAAUGAGGUGUCAUGAGCUAGCUUACUCAGCAGGAGUGAAUUAAAACAGAAAUCACUCCUAGGGUUUUGAAAAUAUUAUUAGCCUGUGCGGCAAACAUUAGUUUUGAUCAGAAUGGCAAAACAUUAUGUACAACUUAAUUCAUUUCACUCAAAAUAAUACACGUUUUGUUCUGAAUUACAAUUCUCUCAUUUUCUCUACAUUGAAACCUUGCCAGAGGCUGGAUAGAGAAUUAAUUAGGUUCUCUAAUCGAGGUCUUCCAGCACGAGCUCAUUUCGUUUUUUUCCACCCUGUAGACCUUUCCACUUCCUGUUUUCAUGACAGGCAGAAUUGUGGGGCUGGGCCUCCACGGAAACGCGGUUGUGUGUCCAGGUACCAGCCCUUCUCUUUGACGCUCUGCGAUGGCCCCGCAUCUUCAGGAAGCAGAGCUGGAACCUGAAAGCCGCCUGGAACCCGCGCCUGAAGUUCUCGUUGAAGUAGCCGAAGAUGAAGGGGUUGACGCUGCUGUUGAAGAAGGCCAGCCAGUGGGCGAAAGGGAAGAUGUAGACCGUCACCAGGUUGAGCUGGCUGGCGGUCAGGGUGCUGUAGUCCGUAAGGAGCAUCAGGGUCCACAGGGGCAGCCAGGUGACCGUGAACAGCAGCGCCAGAAAGAUCAGCAUGUUGAUGACCCUGAUCUUCUUCCUGGAGACCCUGUGUCUGUCGUCGUCGGCGUGGACGUCCCCGACAGAGGCGGCAGACCUGAAGAGCUUGAGGGCGAUGCAGGCGUACGUGAUGAUGAUGAGGGUGACCGGCGCGAGAUAGAUGUGGGAGAAGAGCACCGUGGUGUAGAUCUUUCGCAUCUCCUUCUCAGGCCACGCCUCCCAGCAGGUGUAGAGCGGAUAGGUAUUGUUCUGACUGUCCACCAUGAAAUGGGUCUCAUCUCGGGAGACGGUCAGUAUCACUGCAGAUGGACACAUGAUGGUUACAGCCAGGAUCCAGAUGAGCACGAUGGUGACAGAGGCUUGUUUCUGGGUGAGCUUCUGUUGAAAUGGGUAGACGAUGCAUCGGAACCUAGAAGACAAGAAGGGAAGAAGCUGUUUUUUUUUCACCGGUUCGCUGUUGUGGAUUUGUCUUUGACAUGCAACUGUGGGGGCCUGCGUUGGUGCUGUGCAUCAUUCUUCACUUAUGAAUUUUCACCUACUUGCAACAAUUAGUAAACGCUUCUAAUUAUUUUAA